UCUGUCAUUCAAAAGGGGUUUGUCCACUGACUCCUCCCUGACGUAAGUAUAAAAGGCGACGUCGCAUCUGUUUUCAAGGUUUGUUUGGUUUAUUUAGUGUAGUUAUAUUCUAGGUUAGACUUAAAUCCCUUAUUUAGAAAACUUUUGUUUUAUUCUGUUUUUUGAUUUGGCAACACUCUUGCUCUCUUCAUUAUUUCAUUGGCAAACUGAAAAGUUUUUGGGUCAUAACAACAGGUGAUUCAGAAGAGAAUGGACGGCAGUAUAUUUCCAGCUGUGGAAUCAGUACAAGAGAGGAUUCAGGAAAGGUUUUGCUCAGUACUCGUCCUUCUCUGUGGAUUGUGAAACUGACAGAUAUCAACUGUAUGUUUCAGGAUUCACUGAUGGAGGAGCAGGUCGGACACUUUCAUUCACAUAAAAAAACAAAAAACAAAACAAAACACAUGUUCAGUUGAAUAAAUGUGCACCUGAUGUCCUCAGUGAUGCUCGAACAAACUCCAACGGUGUGUAUUUAUGGGGAGAAGAUGAUACUCAUUACGCCAUUGGAAAUGUUUGGUCUAGCUGGAAGAACAAUUUUGCUGUUGGUAUGAAAUCCAUCAGCAUGAAGAUCAGACGUGUCUUAGACUUUUGAAGAAACAUUACACUUUACACAUUACACAGGGUUUCCUUUUCCUCUGUUAACUGUGUAACUUAGUAAAUCAUUGUUUUGUGUAAGUUUCUUCUUCUUUGAUUUGGGUCACUUCUUUAAAUGUACAACUGAAUCGAUAAUAAACUUCAAUAAACUCCUGCAAUGAAAGG